GCCUCAUUCUCUCCCGACUGCUUCUCAGCACCAAAAUUCUUCUCAGUUUCAGUGCCAGGCUCCUCAAUCUCCCUAAUAUAUAGCAAAAAUGUGUAUGCAAGUAAGGUACAUACCAAACAAAUGUGAAACAAUUUGUUUUGUAAAGUUCUAGUUUGAAAUUCAUCUUGAAAUCAGAAUAUAAAUACUUACGGAGCAAUGUCAUCGGAGGGUGUUCCCCAAUUCCCCCGUCCAGACCCUUCACGCUUAAUAUCACUCCUGAUAUUCCAAAUAUAUUCAAUAUCAAAAUGAAGAAAGCAGAAAGAUCCACACAUGAAAAGUUAAAUAUAUAAAGAACUGAUUGUAAAAUACUAACCCACGUCCUGUACCACUGUGACGAUCAAAAACCCUCCGAGGGCGUUCCCCUUCACCAUCCUCACCAUUCUUGUAACCACCACGACGCCCACCACGGAAGGAGCCACGAGGAGCACCAUAGCCACCACGUCUUUCAGAGGCUUUCCCAUCUCCCUCUUCAGAUGGUCUGUAGCCACCAGAAAAACCAUUGGUGUUCUCAUUGCUGAUUGGAUCUCGAUUAAAUUCACCACCACCACCUCCUCCACCACGCCCACGAC
rnacentral:lncRNA from 1 species